ACGUAGGGUCCAAGCGUUAAUCGGAAUUACUGGGCGUAAAGCGUGCGUAGGCGGAUUUGUAAGACCGAUGUGAAAUACCCGGGCUUAACCUGGGAAUUGCAUUGGAGACUGUACAGCUAGAGUGUGUCAGAGGAGGGUAGAAUUCCAAGAGUAGCGGUGAAAUGCGUAGAGAUGUGGAGGAAUACCGAUGGCGAAGGCAGCCCCCUGGGAUAACACUGACUCUCAUGCACGAAAGCGUGGGGAGCAAACAG
rnacentral:rRNA from 1 species